UACGAAGGGGGCUAGCGUUGCUCGGAAUUACUGGGCGUAAAGGGCGCGUAGGCGGCACUGUUAGUCAGGCGUGAAAGUCCUGGGCUCAACCUGGGAACUGCGCUGGAUACGGCAGAGCUAGAGGAUGGAAGAGGCUCGCGGAAUUCCCAGUGUAGAGGUGAAAUUCGUAGAUAUUGGGAAGAACACCGGUGGCGAAGGCGGCGAGCUGGUCCAUUACUGACGCUGAGGCGCGACAGCGUGGGGAGCAAACAGG
rnacentral:rRNA from 1 species